rnacentral:rRNA from 1 species
CCCUUAGAUGUUCUGGGCCGCACGCGCGCUACACUGACGAAGUCAGCGAGCAUCUCCUACGCCGAAAGGUGCGGGGAAUCUUGUGAAACUUUGUCGUGCUGGGGAUUGAUUUUUGAAAUUCUUGAUCAUCAACGAGGAAUUCCUAGUAAGCGCAAGUCGGCAGCUUGCGUUGAUUACGUCCCUGCCCUUUGUACACACCGCCCGUCGCUACUACCGAUUGAAUGGUUUAGUGAGAUUUUUGGACUGGAACUCUCUUGUUCAGCAAUGAACGAGAGGGACUCUGGGAAGCUAUUCUAACUGUAUCAUUUAGAGGAAGUAAAAGUCGUAACA